UCAAGAGCGUGUCUCUUCUAUUUAUCGCCGCAUGUUCUUAGUGCAAAUGGAGACUGAUGAUGAAUUUAAUCGUAUUUUUGUUUCUUCUAUUCAUUGUUCAUUGAUUCGAAGUUAUCGAUAGCCAUGAAUCAUGGAACGAUAGUAUUUUGAACAUCUUGAUGGAAGAUUAUUGAGCUCAACAGUUUUGUUAGGGUUUAUGUUUCUUUAAUUUUAAGCCGUUUUAUGGGUUGUUUUUUAUUUUAGAUGUGAUUUCUCUUGAACUGAAGGAAAAAUUAGAAAUUGGAAUAAAAUAUUUUCACAAUGUAUUAGCUCUAUCUGAUCUUUCUCGAUUUCAUACCGGUGAUGAGAUUGAGUUUUUGUUUUAAAGCUUUUGAGAUAUGAAGAUUUGUUUGUUGAUUGAAGCGGA